CCUCGGGGUGCUGCAGUCGAGAAUCAUUCACAAUGGGGGAAACCCUGAUGCAGCAACGCCGCGUGAGUGAGGAAGUAUUUCGGUAUGUAAAGCUCUAUCAGCAGGGGAUAUAAAAGAAGGUACCUGAACAAGAAGCUCCGGCUAACUACGUGCCAGCAGCCGCGGUAAUACGUAGGGGGCCAGCGUUAUCCGGAUUUACUGGGGUUAAAGGGAGCGUAGAGGGAAAGGCAAGUCAGAAGUGAAAGCCUAAGGCUCAACCAUGGGAUUGCAUUUGAAACUGUAAAACUAGAGUACGGGAGAGGUAAGAGGAAUUCGUAGUGUAGCGGUGAAAUGCGUAGAUAUUAGGAGGAACACCGGUGGCGAAGGCGUCUUACUGGACCGAAACUGACGUUGAGGCUCGAAAGCGUGGGGAGCAAACAGGAGUAGAUACCCGAGUAGUC
rnacentral:rRNA from 1 species